rnacentral:rRNA from 1 species
UACGUAGGAGGCAAGCGUUGUCCGGAAUUACUGGGCGUAAAGCGCGUGUAGGUGGUGGGACAAGUCUGCUGUGAAAGCGCCUGGCUUAACCGGGCGAGGUCGGCGGAAACUGUCCGACUCGAGGACGGUAGAGGGGGGUGGAAUCCCCGGUGUAGUGGUGAAAUGCGUAGAGAUCGGGAGGAACACCUGUGGCGAAGGCGGCCCCCUGGGCCGGCCCUGACACUGAUGCGCGACAGCAUGGGGAGCAAACAGG